UCCUUGCAUCUGAUGGCUGCUCCACAGCUUCCACAGGCUGCCAAGGAGCCAAGCCCUCUGCCUCUUGUAGUAGUCCUGCCUCUGAAACGAGUAAUACUGACUGGGAGAGAGGUGAUGAACAGCAGCCCACUCUGAGCCCCCUCUGGAGCCUUCUUGUAUUUCACAAGGCUCUUCUGGUAGGAAAAGAAAAAGGCAGGAGAAGCCCACCCGUGGGGAGAGUUCUGAUGGCAGGAAGGAAGUGGUUAGCAGGUGACAUUCAGAGCUCCCACUCAUAGCCAGCCCUUCCCUACCAAAAGGAAGUGCUCCUGCUUUGAAGUUUAUUUGGAAAGCUUUAAAAAUACUUACUAAUUCAGGAACACUUUGCAAUGUAAAUAUGCUCCCUUGGUACACUAAAAAUUAGAUAACAAGCUCAUACCUCUUUUAGGAACAGAGCUCGUCACUGCCACAACCUCUCAGAGGCCUUGAGUUAUUCUUUUCCCUCUAUUUAUAACAAGUGGUUUCUCUGCCAAAAAAAUCCAUGUGGAAAUGUGUAUGCUUAGUGUCUCCGAUCAGUUUUGUGUCCCAUCUGUACCACUAGACAGAGAACUCCAAAAUUCACCCAGCCCAGUCCAUCUUUGCCAGCAGACAGUUCAAAUGAAUUCCCAUUUCCCAACCAAAGGAGUAACUGGCCCUUGUGGGGACGGUCCUUCCCCGUUGUGUUGCAGGGCCUGAGCCGUGGCUGCGGGCGCUGCUGCGGAGCUGGAGCCAUAGCAGGGUAGGUCACGUACCACAAGGAGCUGCAGUGGAGCCAGGUGCCACAUGGGAGAAGGUCAAUAAAGCAGAAAACCCUGGAAGUCAAACAACUCUUCAGGGGUCAUUUGCUCAGAAUGAGAACCCAGCUAUUCAGGACCAGUAGAGGCAAGGUUAAAGUAUCUGCUGGUAAAUCACUUGGCAAGGAGCUGACCAGAAAACUGAAGUUAUUAGAGCAGCUGAAGGAGCUCAGGAAGCUGUUACCUCCAGCCACUCCAGGCAUCCAAGGAUCUCACAGGAGGAAUGCAGAUGCUUAAUUCUUCACAGCUCUCAGAAGGAUGCUCAAUGAACAGCACAAUCCUCAGCCAGGACCACAAGCCUAGACUUCAUGCCCUGCAAGUCAGCACAUCUCAAACCCCACCAUGGACAGCAGGCAGUGGUCCCCUCAUGUACAACACAGAGGAUGCCAAGUGGCCACACAGAACAAAGGGAAGGGGGUCCCGUUCCCAGCCAGAGGAGGCUGAAGCACUCACCGGUCUGUCUGGAGAACGUGGAUGAGGUGUUCCAUGGCCUGUAUGCCGACCUCCAACCGGUAUUUCUGUUCGGAGAAAACCACAUUUGUCAGCGGUCGAAGCCCGAACACCAAACAAAGCUUCUUUAGUAGUACAUGGCAAAGGUACUUCAAAUCCAUGCGGCUCCUCGGAA